AACUUUCUACAAUGUAUCUCGUGGUUCUGGCAUCGAUGAAGAACGCAGCGAAAUGCGAUAAGUAAUGUGAAUUGCAGAAUUCAGUGAAUCAUCGAAUCUUUGAACGCACAUUGCACCCGGUGGUAUUCCGCCGGGUAUGCCUGUUCGAGCGUCUGUAGAACAACAACUAUAGCAAGCUUUAGGCUUGAUUCUGGGGUUGCGGCGUCAAGCUGCAGCCUUGAAGUCCACGGGCGGUUCCGAUAGGUUCUACGCGUAGUAAUUUCUCCUCGCUACUGAACUUUGUCGGCACAUUUGGUACUAAGUCCAGCAAUGGCCACGCCAAGCCCUUAACACCCAAUUUUAGUUUGACCUCGGAUCAAGUAGGGAUACCCGCUGAACUUAAGCAUAUCAAUAAGCGGAGGCU
rnacentral:misc_RNA from 1 species